GAAGGGAGGAGGGUCAUGAGUCUAAACUAAAAGCCUGAAAAAAAUAAUUUCAGGACUUCAAUUGUCCCUACAGAUUUCCUCUAAAGACUGCCAGCAUGUGGCAUUAUCUUACUCUAAUUUUCUCCAAAGGGAAAAUGUGACACUGUAUUAACAUUGAAUUAAUCAGAGGAGCCAAAUAUAUCUGUAUGCACAACAUAUCUGUAUCUCCCUAUCUCAGAAAACUUUCUACCCCAAUUGAGCACCAGCUGGAAGAGAAAUUCUUGCAAUGGAGCCCUUUCUGUUUAAUCCCUUAAUCUUCUCAACAGUAGGGAUUCUCUCUUAAACCCGACUGGAAAGUAACAUCUGCACUGUUGAAAGAGAGAAAGCACCAGAAGGCAAGCCACAGAGGUCUCAGCUCCCUCUCUCCCACUCAGUAGUUUUCUCUUGAAGAUGCCUGUUUAAGGGCAGUUUACAUUUAAUGGCAAUGACACAGAUCAGGCAGAACCCCAGAGGCUAAAAUAUUUUCUGUUUCAGAGCACUUAUGGCUCCCCAUUAUUAUGCUGUGGCAAAAGCAGGAGAACUUUAAAUGACAAGGAGACCACAGAGAUGGAUUAACCUGCAGAGACAGAUUAACCUGCACACAUGUAGCAGUUUGCUUGGCGGAUUUGUGGAUUUUACCCAGUGGACUAUGGAGUUUGUUCCACCUAUCCGUACUUCUGAAUUUGAACUCCAAUCUCAUAUUCCUAACUGAUGUAUCUUGAACCAUGGAAAUUCACAGCACACAAAAUAUCCUCUUCUGCUCGGCUGGUUCUCUGUUACUACUGACACGGACAUAGGGCCAUUAUUUUUGUGAAGUCUGUAAAGGGAAUGUAAGACUGUGUCCAUCAAGGAGGAGUUACCUGUGUUCAUAACCAAGAAGAGGACUGAGAGCUGAGAGUCUUCCCUCACUCACUGCAGAGGAAAGACAUCACCUGGAGAGAUGCAGUCACUCAAAGAAGAAAAAUGCCAAGUCAUCUGAAGCUUUGUCUCUCCUGAUUGCAAUCAUAUUUUAUUCUCAAGUAAAGAGAAGCAGCUUUGGCAUGAAGCUAGGAAGCAGUGGAUGUUCAACUACGGUGGAUAUGGGACUCCAGGACGAUUUUCAAGGUUGAAAAUGUGCUCCCACUGGAGAUGGUUUCAGCAGGCCCACCUAAAAAAAGCUGGAUGGAGCUAAGGGAACUGUCUCCCUCCAUCUAUCCAGCCAGCCGAAGGGGCCAGGAGCAAUGGGGGAACUUUCCUUGCAUCUUCUGUGAGUCAGACCACGAGGCUGGCAGAGCUCUCCUCUGACCCUUCGCCUCUAAACGCCCAUGACCCCGCCCAUGCUACAGCGCCCAGGCACAGGCGGGCCGGAGC